rnacentral:rRNA from 1 species
UACGUAGGCGGACUAAUAAGUCAGGAGUGAAAUCCCACAGCUCAACUGUGGAACUGCCUUUGAUACUGUUAGUCUUGAGUUAUAUGGAAGUAGAUAGAAUGUGUAGUGUAGCGGUGAAAUGCUUAGAGAUUACACAGAAUACCGAUUGCGAAGGCAGUCUACUACGUAUAUACUGACGCUAAUGGACGAAAGCGUGGGGAGCGAACAGGAUUAGAUACCCUGGUAGUCC